CCUACGGGUGGCAGCAGUGAGGAAUAUUGGUCAAUGGGCGGAAGCCUGAACCAGCCAAGUCGCGUGAGGGAAUAAGGCCCUACGGGUCGUAAACCUCUUUUGCCGGGGAGCAAGGGCGGGGACGUGUCCCGGCACGGAGAGUACCCGGAGAAAAAGCAUCGGCAAACUCCGUGCCAGCAGCCGUGGUAAUACGGAGGAUGCGAGCGUUAUCCGGAUUUAUUGGGUUAAAGGGGUGCGUAGGCGGGCUUUUAAGUCAGCGGGAAAAAGUCGGGGCUCAACCCCGUCCGGCCGUUGGAACUGGGGGCCUUGAGUGGGCGAGAGGAAGGCGGAAUGCGUGGUGUAGCGGUGAAAUGCAUAGAUAUCACGCAGAACCCCGAUUGCGAAGGCAGCCUUCCGGCGCCCUACUGACGCUGAGGCACGAAAGUGCGGGGAUCGAACAGGAUUAGAUACCCUUGUAGUC
rnacentral:rRNA from 1 species